CGCUGCCCCACCUCGCUCCUCUCGUUGACCCCACCGACCUACUCUGCGCAGAACACGGGACGCCAGAUUGGACGCCGCUACCGCCUCAUCAGCUCCACGCCACGCAUGAUUCAAGGUACCGCUUGAAGGCCGGAUAAGUGGACGCGGAUUUUCUUUAUCUUGAUUAAUCGGACAAACCAAGAGUUAAUUGUUGCCAGUUUCUUCAUCUCACGGUGGAUUUUUAGUUGAUGCAAUCUAGGAGGUAUUGUUAGUCACAGUAGGAGUGAGCAGUGUGGCGCUAGCAUCUGCAUCCCAUGGACUGCAUCUCACGUUAAGAUGAGAGAUUGAUUCUUUGCAUCCUCCAUGCCUAUGAAUACGUACAACUUGUCUGACGUAUUGGCUCACCGGAUUGUAGUUCGAAAUUGGUUACCAAAUAAACUUUAUUUCAGGAAAUGGAAGUAAAAAUCAGCACUGAUAACUUUAAGAUGUAUGAACAAUACUUUGCAGGGUUGAUCAAUGUUGCUGAGUGGUAGAAGCGGUGCUUAAUCAGCUGAAGCUUUACGAUUUCCAGUCAAAAAAACCGUCUCCUUUUGUAUGCAUUGAAUUUAGUCUGUUUACAGAUGUAAUUCCUUAUGCUGACUUCACAAUGAUGGUAACUUUAAGAUGUAUGAACAAUACUUUGCAGGGUUGAUCAAUGUUGCUGAGUGGUAGAAGCGGUGCUCUGGACAGAAUGAGUCAGCUACUCAUAGCAAGAAGGAGAUGGACUAGCUGCUUCUCUAUGGAUGCUCCUCCAGAUCUCAGAGCUUGGAUCGAUGACAAGAUGUACGUAGUCUACAUGCUGAGAACUGGCAAUCUGUUCCUUUUAGUUUUUAUUUACAAAGAAUUAGUAGUUGCACUAUGAAACAGACAGUGCAAUUGCAAUACACUAAUUUGAAGAAAUGACACCUUUUCUUGUGCUUAGUUUGCUAAGAUUGUUUGUCCGUGGUUGUAAGUUAAUUUGAUCUGGGAGGUAGCCUAAAGGAACUGCCUUCAGGGAUUAAUAAUUUGAUGAGAGCAAGGCUUAUCCAGUUGAAGUAGCAAGACUUCUCAUCCCUGUCACUAAACAAAGGAAGCCCCACAGAUCAUGAUUCUUGACUUCUUUCAUUCCAAUAAAAAGGUGUUGUGUUCCAGUGCUGACAUGCUCGGGCUAGGUAUUUUCCUCUCCAGAGAGGAAAAGGAGUUCUUGGAGGUAAAGUUACGCAUCCUGGGAUCCAUAGCUUGGUAGGCAGAUAAUAUAUCCAAUGUCACUCGAACUACAAGUUAGUUGGGUGCAAUAUGUCAGAUAAUUUUGACAGAAGAGCAAUGCCUUGGUUCAACAGGAAGAAUGU